CCAAAAUUAUUCCUGUACUCAUGGAUCCUAGAUUUUAUUUAGGGAAGAAUAUAAACAUAUAUGUAUAUAAAUUAAAUACAUAGAAAGUAAAGGAGGAAGAGGCAACUGGAACUUUUAGAGAAGGCUCCAUUGGGCAAAACUCCUGAAAUCUAUCCAUGGACUUCUUUGUACAACCGAUUAAGAAGCCCUGACCUAGAUGAUCUGAAAGUUUUCUUCUGGUGCUAAAUCCCAAGAUUCUUUAGUCCACUUGGCCUUCUCUAACCACUACUUAAAAGUAGCACUCUGGGUUCCCAAGAUUACUCUCAGAGAAAGCCAGCGGUGGCCUGCUUCAAACUCACAAUCCACGUUUUCAGAGUCUGAAUCCUCCAAAUGGAAGAUUAAAUGCCAGUGCCCCUACAAUAGGGCUCCCUUCUCUGUCGACCCCCCUCCCUCUUUAUAGAUGGAUGGUGUACCUCUAUUUUAUAACCUGACCCCAGCUAAUACAGCUUUCUUAACGAAUCUGGAUCUUUUCUUCACCCUCUAAAUCUUUUUGAAGUCAUUAAGCAAAGAACAAGUUUUAAAAUAAAAGGGGCUUGCUUCCAUUUGCUUUAGUUUGAUUUAGAUAUUUUAAAAAUGUUUCUUAAGUACCUAUGUGAGAGUCACAAAUGCCAUUGGCCUUUCCCUAAGGCAUUGCUAAUUGCUUGACUAUGAACCAAAUUCUGUUAUCACCCUCUGUGUGACCUGAGACAAAUCAUUUGUCCAGUUUAGAUUUCAAUUUUCUCAUCUUAUUAAAUAGAGGAUGUGGAUUUUAAAUUUAAAAGCCCUUUCUAGCCCCCAAAAUAAUGACUCUCUGAUCUUCUAAGACAAAAUAGACAAUGAAGAUCUCACAAAAGGAACCAGUCUUGCAAGAGAGAAUAUGAAUCACUAGCCAAAUCCUAAAAAGCAUCUGCUGCUUACUUCAUUCCUAGACUGAGGGUCUCUACCUUCAAAGAAUCACAAUUUACAUUAAUUACUCUUUAGUCCAUUACAAAUCUUGGUUUCUUUCUAAAUUUUCUUCUGAAUGCAAGUAUUGCUCAGGCAGCACCCGGUAUGAUCAUUAAUGGGGAGUACCCAAUGACUGGGCUCUAGUUCCCCUAAUUGGGUCUGAGUGAUAAGGACAGGUGUUUGCCAGUUGCUUUCUCUGUUCAGGAGAAUGGUAGAAGUCUGUUCUGUCAUGGGAGAUUGGGAUUGUGCCUGACUAUGACAGGGAGCCUUCUGGGAACUAAUCAAACCUAAAGCCAGAGUUAUAUUUGCCUAAUAAAGACAUGUUC